rnacentral:lncRNA from 1 species
CUCGUGUUAUGAAUGACAGAAGUGUCUCAGACUGAGAAUGCUGUGUGCUGCUGCUUGCAGCAAUCUGUGGCACUGAUCCUGCAGGGCUGUGCUGGCAGCACAGCUCAUAAUUCUGCAAUACAAGGAAUAAUGCCUGGAGACCUGCAAAGCUCAGAUCUGAAGCUUACUGAUAUUUGGGGGUAUAAAGGAUGUAGAAUGUGGUUAAUGGAGGAGAGGAAGAGAAGACAAAUAAUAAAAGCAAGGACCUUUGGUAAAUACCUGGACAUAGACAGUGGGCAAAGGAAAAAAAGGUAAGAACAAUUCUAGAACACAAUAGGUGUUGUCUUUGAUCACAGAAGUCAAGUGGAGAGUGAUUUUUCAUUCUGUGCUUAUAUAAUACAUGCCAGCAAGAUGGCCAGAUCAAUUGUAAGUAUCAUAAUACAACGAAGUAUUAUAACAAUUAAAUUGAAGGUACAACUAAGUGAGAGUUACAUAAUAUUAUUCCUUAUCAUCGAGCACUAUGUACUGUGUAGGUAAAUAUCACUAAUUCUAUUGUGUAGAGGGAGGUAUAUAUAUGAUCCAAAUACUUUGUGGAAGUGUGAGGUAUUCUCCAAUAGAUUAUUUCACGAGAGGUACUAAACAGGUACAGUACACUGAACUGCUAAUAAUGAUGUGAAGGUGCUCUGUUCUCAAACUUGGGGUUAAAUGUGUUAUUGUUUUACCAUGUUUUUAAUAUCUAAAUUUUAAUAUAAAAUCAUUGAAUUCAUUAAAAAAAAAAAAAAAAAAAAAAAAAAGAUAAUGUAACAGUCAAAGUUUAAGCUUGAGAUUUGGAGAGCAAAUCCCGUCUACCAACUUGUGUGGUUGACAAGCAAGGCUCACAUUCAAAAGGUUCUCAGAUUUAGGAGGCUGUUUCAUGUGACUAAAUGCAGUAGGCUGAAGGCGGCCACUACUUUCUUCAUGUAAUCUAAUGUAUUAUCUAGGUCUGAAAUCUUUCAAGUCUGAACAGUAUUUGUUUCUGGUCAGUGCUAUUAGUCAUUGUUCUAAUACAUAUACUACAGAAUUUGGGCUAAUGCUUUACAAAGUAUACAACAUGCUCAGGUUAAUAUCAAUAAAGAAUAGACAAUUCCUUUGCCA